rnacentral:rRNA from 1 species
GAUCCUGGCUCAGAUUGAACGCUGGCGGCAGGCCUAACACAUGCAAGUCGAACGGUAACAGGAAGAAGCUUGCUUCUUUGCUGACGAGUGGCGGACGGGUGAGUAAUGUCUGGGAAACUGCCUGAUGGAGGGGGAUAACUACUGGAAACGGUAGCUAAUACCGCAUAACGUCGCAAGACCAAAGAGGGGGACCUUCGGGCCUCUUGCCAUCGGAUGUGCCCAGAUGGGAUUAGCUAGUAGGUGGGGUAACGGCUCACCUAGGCGACGAUCCCUAGCUGGUCUGAGAGGAUGACCAGCCACACUGGAACUGAGACACGGUCCAGACUCCUACGGGAGGCAGCAGUGGGGAAUAUUGGACAAUGGGGGGAACCCUGAUCCAGCCAUGCCGCGUGUGUGAAGAAGGUCUUCGGAUUGUAAAGCACUUUAAGUUGGGAGGAAGGGCAGUAAAUUAAUACUUUGCUGUUUUGACGUUACCGACAGAAUAAGCACCGGCUAACUCUGUGCCAGCAGCCGCGGUAAUACAUAGGUCGCAAGCGUUAUCCGGAAUUAUUGGGCGUAAAGAGUUCGUAGGUGGUCUUGUAAGUCUGAAGUUAAAGCCCGGGGCUCAACCCCGGCCCGCUUUGGAUACUGCAAGACUAGAGUAAUAGAGAGGUUAGUGGAACUCCAAGUGAAGCGGUGGAAUGCGUAGAUAUUUGGAAGAACACCAAUGGCGAAGGCAACUAACUGGCUAUUAACUGACACUGAGGAACGAAAGCGUGGGUAGCAAACAGGAUUAGAUACCCUGGUAGUCCACGCCGUAAACGAUGAUAACUAGCCGUUGGGAGGGUUACCUCUUAGUGGCAAAGCUAACGCGUUAAGUUAUCCGCCUGGGGAGUACGGCCGCAAGGCUAAAACUCAAAGGAAUUGACGGGGACCCGCACAAGCGGUGGAUGAUGUGGAUUAAUUCGAUGCAACGCGAAAAACCUUACCCACCUUUGACAUGUACGGAAUCCUUUAGAGAUAGAGGAGUGCUCGAAAGAGAGCCGUAACACAGGUGCUGCAUGGCUGUCGUCAGCUCGUGUCGUGAGAUGUUGGGUUAAGUCCCGCAACGAGCGCAACCCUCGCCUUUAGUUACCAUCAUUUAGUUGGGUACUCUAAAGGAACCGCCGGUGAUAAGCCG